AGCCCUGCCCUCGGGGUCCGGGGUCCCUGAAGCCUUCAGUGCUCCACCCACUACCCUGAAGCUUCAGUGGAUUCGCGCCCUCCCGCCAGACCUGCAGCUGCUCAGCUCCGCCUACUCGCUGCAGACUCUGGAAUGAUGGAGAUGGAGACCCCGCAGCAUGCUUGCAGACUAGUCUCAGAGAUCCGGAUAUGUGGCCAGCCAAACACUGCACCUUUCUUGAAUUCAAAUAGAAUUGUAACCGUACCAUGGAGUGCUACCAAACCCAUAUUCAGUGCCAGUGGAGGCAUGCUGAUGGAGGCCAGAGGAUGUCCGAACCCCUGGCACUAGAGUUAGAGGUGGUUGUGAGUGCACUAAUGUGGGUUCUUGGAAUCACACCUGGAUCCUAGUGAAGAUUGGAGGGGAAGAAAAUAGGAACAGGAGAAAGAAACAGAAUUAAGAGACAUGUGUUGGACCCUGACCCCUGUUCCUUGAGUAGCUGUCGCCUUGCUUGCUGACCUUGAUCAGAUGUCCUCCCUAUGCUAAUUCCCUGCGGGUUUCAUUCUUCCUAAACAGCUUACCGAAGGUUCCUUGUUCGCGUAUCCUGCAUAUUGGUGUAAUGCUAGAGUGUAAAACAUCUGUAGCUUACCUUUGCCCUCUUUUGCUCUUCCACCGUACUGUAAGUCUGUAUUUAAGGCCUCCUCCCUCCUUCAAUAAAGGGCAUUCUACUGAGACAAAUGA